UGUAUUCCCGACCUCUGUUAUGAUGAACAUCUUCAUGUCGAACGCCUUCUGUCCUGGCGUCCUGGAGGGAGAUGUCCUUGUGUUUAAUGUCUCCUACAAAGAUUGCAACACACGUAUCGAAGAAAACAACAAUACAGUGACAUUCAGCAACUAUCUGAUUGAAUAUGAGAGAGACGCACAGACAAAUCUAGUGAACGGUGCAAAGUGGCGCUACAACUUGGAAUGUGUCCUUCAAAGACACGAAACCGAUGUGAAAACGUUCGUUCCCGUUGACAAGUCCAAGGUCACCAUUCAGGCAACAAGCAAAAUUCAAGGUCAUGAGGCUGACAUAACGUUUUUAACAGAUGCUGCUUACACAAACGAAAUGGGACUCUGCUUGAGGUCAGUCUCGGGUCACGUGUCUACGUCCAGGUAGAGACCAGUGUUGCUGCCGAUGUCAAACUGCUGGUGGACAACUGCUACAUCACCACGGAUAUCACGAGCGGAAACUCGAAACGUCCCAAUUAUACUUAACAGGUGUGAAGCCAACCAUUUCACGCAUAUCAUUGGACAUGUUUACAACUAAACACGUUUCUACUUCGACGUCUUCGAAAUGCCCCAUCACCAUGACAACAUGUACCUCACAUGUGACGUCAGUUUCUGUCCACUCAUGGACUUUUCAUGCAAUGCCAAAUUGGAUGCCUCAGCACAAAUCCGUAGCAGAGAGAACCGAUUACAUUAAGAAUAAGAUUAUGAUGUAGUUGUGAAAUGCAAUCUCAUGUUGCAAAUUUUCAAAAAUGAAACGGACAACUUUAUGGAAUAAACAACUCUGUGCAAACAUC